rnacentral:rRNA from 1 species
CCUACGGGCGGCAGCAGUGGGGAAUAUUGCACAAUGGGGGAAACCCUGAUGCAGCGACGCCGCGUGAGUGAAGAAGUAAUUCGUUAUGGAAAGCUCUAUCAGCAGGGAAGAAAAUGAAGGUACGUGAGUAAGAAGCCGCGGAUAACUCCCUGACAGAAGCCGUGGUAAGACGUAGGGGGCAAGGGUUAUACGGAUUUACUGGGUGUAAAGGGAGCGUAGACGGCAGUACUAGUCUGGAGGGAAAGGCGGGGGCUCAACCCCCGGCCUGCCCUGGAAACUGUACGGCUGGAGUGCAGGAGAGGUAAGUGGAAUGCCUAGUGUAGCGGUGAAAUGCGUAGAUAUUAGGCAGAACACCAGUUGCGAAGGCAGCUUACUGGCCUGUAACUGACGUUGAGGCUCGAAAGCGUGGGGAGCAAACAGGAUUAGAUACCCUUGUAGUC